rnacentral:rRNA from 1 species
GACGAACGCUGGCGGCGUGCUUAACACAUGCAAGUCGAACGGAAAGGCCCUGCUUUCGUGGGGUGCUCGAGUGGCGAACGGGUGAGUAACACGUGAGUAACCUGCCCUGGACUUUGGGAUAACUUCAGGAAACUGGGGCUAAUACCGGAUAGGAGCUCCUGCUGCAUGGUGGGGGUUGGAAAGUUUCGGCGGUUGGGGAUGGACUCGCGGCUUAUCAGCUUGUUGGUGGGGUAGUGGCUUACCAAGGCUUUGACGGGUAGCCGGCCUGAGAGGGUGACCGGCCACAUUGGGACUGGGAUACGGCCCAGACUGCUACGGGAGGCAGCAGUGGGGAAUAUUGCACAAUGGGCGGAAGCCUGAUGCAGCAACGCCGCGUGCGGGAUGACGGCCUUCGGGUUGUAAACCGCUUUCGCCUGUGACGAAGCGUGAGUGACGGUAAUGGGUAAAGAAGCACCGGCUAACUACGUG